GUGAACGCUGGCGGUAGGCCUAACACAUGCACGUCGAACGGCAGCACAGUAAGAGCUUGCUCUUACGGGUGGCGAGUGGCGGACGGGUGAGGAAUACAUCGGAAUCUACUUUUUCGUGGGGGAUAACGUAGGGAAACUUACGCUAAUACCGCAUACGACCUACGGGUGAAAGCAGGGGAUCUUCGGACCUUGCGCGAUUGAAUGAGCCGAUGUCGGAUUAGCUAGUUGGCGGGGUAAAGGCCCACCAAGGCGACGAUCCGUAGCUGGUCUGAGAGGAUGAUCGGCCAAACUGGAACUGAGAACCGGUCCAAACUCCUACGGGAGGCAGCAGUGGGGAAUAUUGGAAAAUGGGCGGAAGCCUGAUCCAGCCAUACCGCGUGGGUGAAGAAGGCCUUCGGGUUGUAAAGCCCUUUUGUUGGGAAAAAAAAGCAGCAGGUUAAAACCCCGCUGUUCUGAGGGUACCAAAAGAAUAAGCCCCGGCUAACUUCGG
rnacentral:rRNA from 1 species